AACCAUAGAAACCUGCGGAGUACCUGCGGAAGGAUCAUUACAAAAGUUAUACACUUGGGGAAAGGACUCGUCUUUCGGGACUUGAGGCCUGACUCCAUUUGUAACACAACUUUCAACCACUUGUGAACAUGUAAUAAUUAUCUCACCAAUUGACUGUUAACGAAGUCUGAUUCAAAUUGUAUUGGUGUUAAUAGACACUAGUAAAAUAUGAAACAACUUUCAACAAUGGAUCUCAGAUCG
rnacentral:misc_RNA from 1 species